AGAGUUUGAUCAUGGCUCAGGAUGAACGCUGGCGGCGUGCUUAACACAUGCAAGUCGAACGAAGCACUUUAUUUGAUUUCCUUCGGGACUGAUAUUUUGUGACUGAGUGGCGGACGGGUGAGUAACGCGUGGGUAACCUGCCUUGUACAGGGGGGUAACAGUUGGAAACGGCUGCUAAUACCGCAUAAGCGCACGGCAUCGCAUGAUGCAGUGUGAAAAACUCCGGUGGUAUAAGAUGGACCCGCGUUGGAUUAGCUAGUUGGUGAGGUAACGGCCCACCAAGGCAACGAUCAGUAGGGGUUCUGAGAGGAAGGUCCCCCACAUUGGAACUGAGACACGGUCCAAACUCCUACGGGAGGCAGCA
rnacentral:rRNA from 1 species